UUGACCUCGGAUCAGGUAGGAAGACCCGCUGAACUUAAGCAUAUCAAUAAGCGGAGGAAAAGAAACCAACAGGGAUUGCCCUAGUAACGGCGAGUGAAGCGGCAACAGCUCAAAUUUGAAAUCUGGCUUCGGCCCGAGUUGUAAUUUGCAGAGGAAGCUUUAGGCGCGGCACCUUCUGAGUCCCCUGGAACGGGGCGCCAUAGAGGGUGAGAGCCCCGUAUAGUUGGAUGCCUAGCCUGUGUAAAGCUCCUUCGACGAGUCGAGUAGUUUGGGAAUGCUGCUCAAAAUGGGAGGUAAAUUUCUUCUAAAGCUAAAUACCGGCCAGAGACCGAUAGCGCACAAGUAGAGUGAUCGAAAGAUGAAAAGCACUUUGAAAAGAGGGUUAAAUAGCACGUGAAAUUGUUGAAAGGGAAGCGCUUGUGACCAGACUUGCGCCGGGCAGAUCAUCCGGUGUUCUCACCGGUGCACUCUGCCCGGCUCAGGCCAGCAUCGGUUCUCGCGGGGGGAUAAAGGCCCUGGGAACGUAGCUCCUCCGGGAGUGUUAUAGCCCGGGGCGUAAUGCCUUCGCGGGGACCGAGGUUCGCGCAUCUGCAAGGAUGCUGGCGUAAUGGUCAUCAGCGAC
rnacentral:rRNA from 1 species